UCAAAAAAACCGUUGGUAUAUAAUUGGAUGCUUUAUAUCUGUCCAUUUUAAUGUUUCUCUGCGCAGUGCUCUAUGGGACACAGUGUAUUCCCGCGUAGCAACGUUGCAUUGCGUGUUAUGGCUUCUUCCCUUGUCUUUUGAGAUCUCGGUCAGAGAGAAUUGAUAGUAAUCGUUACUUUUGUAUUCUAAAUCAUACACUAUCAACGUUUAAAUUCUGGAAACUUUUCAAAUUUUAACGUUUCUAUUUCAGCAUGUCCUCGACCAAUCACAAAAAGGAAGACACCAGUUAUCGAACACAUCGAGCCAAUCGUUUAUCUCGAAAUUAUUUUUGUGUAUCUUCUUUUUCGAUAACGAGCAUCACACGAUAUAAAACGAAAUUAAAACGCUAUCUAGUUAAUACAAUGGUAUACACAAAUGAAUUAAUUUGAUCGUGGAUCUUUUCAAGCUGCUGAUAUAACAUUGUCUGACGCCAAACCAUUGUGAUUGACAUCGAAUCAACGUUACAUAAAGAUACUUAGAUCGUCUUAUAGAACGAGCCAAAGGUGUGAACGUGAUAAAAAUCCCGAAUCACAUUUGAUUCCGGAUAAAUAAACGGUUUUUUUAAAAAGCAUUGUUCCUCGAUAUUUUGAUAAAAACACGUAUAAUAACGAAUAAAUGAAUUGAUUUUAGAUACAAGGAAGAGAAACGUUAAAAAACAUUAGUAGGAAAAGAAAGUAAGUUUAUUUGAAAAUUCUGUUUUCAGAAAGUAUAAGUAAGAAACAUAAAAUUUUAAAAAUCAAGUAAAUCUUUAUUACUAUGUUAAUUUAUAAAAAGAUAAUUAAAGAAAGAGAAGAUAUCGAUCAAGAAAAGAGAUUUUAAUCGAUUAUUUUUCAUUUUCCUUGUACACUUAUUCUUUAAAUCGCAAUCAGAUAUA